rnacentral:rRNA from 1 species
UCGGGAAUUUUGGGCAAUGGGCGAAAGCCUGACCCAGCAACGCCGCGUGAGGGAUGAAGUAUUUCGGUAUGUAAACCUCGAAAGAAUGGGAAGAAUAAAUGACGGUACCAUUUAUAAGCUCCGGCUAACUACGUGCCAGCAGCCGCGGUAAGACGUAGGAUGCAAGCGUUGUCCGGAUUCAUUGGGCGUAAAGAGUUCGUAGGUGGUCUGUUAAGUUUGGUGUUAAAGAGCGGGGCCCAACCCCGAUAGUGCACUGAAUACUGGCAGACUUGAGUGCGGUAGAGGUAAGUGGAAUUCCAAGUGUAGCGGUGAAAUGCAUAGAUAUUUGGAAGAACACCGGUGGCGUAAGCGACUUACUGGGCCGUAACUGACACUGAGGAACGAAAGCCGGGGUAGCGAAUG